UAGGGUAUAGCUCAGCAGUAGAGUGUGUGCUUAGUAAGCAUGGCGUCCUGGGUUCAAUCCCCAGUGACUUCA
rnacentral:tRNA from 1 species